rnacentral:rRNA from 1 species
GUAGGUGGCAAGCGUUGUCCGGAAUUAUUGGGCGUAAAGCGCGCGCAGGCGGUUCUUUAAGUCUGAUGUGAAAGCCCACGGCUCAACCGUGGAGGGUCAUUGGAAACUGGAGAACUUGAGUACAGAAGAGGAAAGCGGAAUUCCACGUGUAGCGGUGAAAUGCGUAGAGAUGUGGAGGAACACCAGUGGCGAAGGCGGCUUUCUGGUCUGUAACUGACGCUGAGGCGCGAAAGCGUGGGGAGCAAACAGGGAUUAGAUACCCUGGUAGUCCACGCCGUAAAUGAUGAGUGCUAAGUGUUAGGGGGUUUCCGCCCCCCUUAGUGCUGCAGCUAACGCAUUAAGCACUCCGCCUGGGAGUACGGCCGCAAGGCUG